ensembl:snRNA
AAAAAGGGUUUCUGUCCUGAGUGGCAUGAGUAAGGCAGCUCGAUUGCUCUGUGUGUGGAAUUGACAUCAGAUUUUGGAAGCAUGAUUUUCGGUAUUGACAAAUUGACAAAUUGCCCAAAUUUGAA